rnacentral:rRNA from 1 species
GACGAACGCUGGCGGCGUGCUUAACACAUGCAAGUCGAACGGAGUGGCGAACGGGUGAGUAACACGUGGGUGAUCUGCCUUGCACUCUGGGAUAAGCUUGGGAAACUGGGUCUAAUACCGGAUAGUGCAAGAUGAGCUCGCGGCCUAUCAGCUUGUUGGUGGGGUAAUGGCCUACCAAGGCGUCGACGGGUAGCCGGCCUGAGAGGGUGUACGGCCGCAUUGGGACUGUGAUACGAGCCAGACUCCACCGGGAGGCAGAAGGGGGGAAUUUUGCACAAUGGGCGGAAGCAUGAUGCAGCGACGCCGCUGGGGGGCUGACGGCCUUCGUGUUGUAAACUCCUUUCGACAGGGACGCGGUACCUGUAUAAGAAGCGCCGGCUAACUACGUGCCAGCCGCCGCGGUAAUAC